rnacentral:rRNA from 1 species
UACGGGGGGGACAAGCGUUGUUCGGAUUUACUGGGCGUAAAGGGCGCGUAGGCGGACAUUCAAGUCGGGAGUGAAAACCGGCAGCUUAACUGCAGGCCUGCUUUCGAUACUGUUUGUCUUGAGUACAGAAGAGGAAAGCGGAAUUCCAGGUGUAGCGGUGAAAUGCGUAGAUAUCUGGAAGAACACCAGUAGCGAAGGCGGCUUUCUGGUCUGAAACUGACGCUCAAGCGCGAAGGCUAGGGGAGCAAACAGG